rfam:Ictidomys tridecemlineatus contig008222, whole genome shotgun sequence.
AGGGGUAUAGUUCAAUGGUAGAAAACUUGCCUACUCAUCAUGAAGCCCUGGGUUUGAGCCCCAGUACCUCCA